AGUUCCGGGUUAUGGUCAAGCUACUAAGGGCGUACGGUGAAUGCCUUGGCGCCAGCAGUCGAUGAAGGGCGUGGUAAGCUGCGAAAAGCUUCGGGGAGCCGCAAACAGGCGUUGAUCCGAAGAUUCCCGAAUGGGGCAACCCACCUGGAGUCAUGUCCAGGUAUCCCCGGCUGAAUACAUAGGCCGGUGGAAGGCAACGCGGGGAAGUGAACCAUCUCAGUACCCGCAGGAACAGAAAACAACAGUGAUUCCGCUAGUAGCGGCGAGCGAACGCGGACAUAGCCCAAACCAUCGUGCUUGCACGGUGGGGUUGUAGGGCCGACCACUACGAGUUACCAAUCACUACCCUAGCCAAACCAUCUGGAAAGUUGGGCCAGAGCGGGUGACAGCCCCGUAGGCGAAAGGGUCAGUGACUCGGGUCGGUACCCUGAGUACCGCGGGACACGAGAAAUCCCGUGGGAAUCUGCGAGGACCAUCUCGCAAGGCUAAAUACUCGCUGGCGACCGAUAGUGAACCAGUACCGUGAGGGAAAGGUGAAAAGCACCCCUGUGAGGGGAGUGAAAUAGUACCUGCAACCGUAUGCCUACAAGCAGUGGGAGGGCUAUGGCCGGAGCGAUCCGGCAAUGCCUGACCGCGUGCCUUUUGCAUAAUGAGCCGGCUAGU
rnacentral:rRNA from 1 species